rnacentral:snRNA from 1 species
CCCUAGCCCUGAUAGAAGCGGUAUCCUUUUCUUAAGGUGAUUUUUCUUCACCUUAAGGAAAGAUACAAGCGGAUAGCAGGAAUAAGC